rnacentral:rRNA from 1 species
ACGCUCGACACCUACGGGAGGCAGCAGUGGGGAAUAUUGCACAAUGGGGGAAACCCUGAUGCAGCGACGCCGCGUGAAGGAAGAAGUAUCUCGGUAUGUAAACUUCUAUCAGCAGGGAANAAAUGACGGUACCUGACUAAGAAGCCCCGGCUAACUACGUGCCAACAGCCGCGGUAAUCUGAGCGGGCUGGCAAGGC